GCGGAGGAAAAGAAACUAACAAGGAUUCCCCUAGUAGCGGCGAGCGAAGCGGGAAGAGCUCAAAUUUACGAUAAUCUGGCACCUUCGGUGUCCGAGUUGUAAUCUCUAGAAGUGUUUUCCGCGUUGGACCGCACACAAGUCUGUUGGAAUACAGCGGCAUAGUGGUGAAACCCCCGUAUAUGGUGCGGACGCCCAGCGCUUUGUGAUACACUUUCAAUGAGUCGAGUUGUUUGGGAAUGCAGCUCAAAUUGGGUGGUAAAUUCCAUCUAAAGCUAAAUAUUGGCGAGAGACCGAUAGCGAACAAGUACCGUGAGGGAAAGAUGAAAAGCACUUUGGAAAGAGAGUUAACAGUACGUGAAAUUGUUGGAAGGGAAACGCUUGAAGUCAGACUUGCUUGCCGGAGCUUGCUUCGGUUUGCAGGCCAGCAUCAGUUUUCCGGGGUGGAUAAUGACGGUUUGAAGGUAGCAGUCUCGGCUGUGUUAUAGCUUUCCGUUGGAUACAUCCUGGGGGACUGAGGAACGCAGCGUGCUUUUUGCGAAAGACUCGUCUUUUUCACGCUUAGGAUGCUGGUGGAAUGGCUUUA
rnacentral:rRNA from 1 species